rnacentral:rRNA from 1 species
ACAACGGGUGGAGCUUGCGGUUUAAUUGGAUUCAACGCCGGAAAUCUUACCGGGACCGACAGCAAUAUGAAGGCCAGGCUGAAGACUUUGCCGGAUUAGCUGAGAGGUGGUGCAUGGCCGUCGUCAGUUCGUACUGUGAAGCAUCCUGUUAAGUCAGGCAACGAGCGAGACCCACGCCAACAGUUGCCAGCAUGUCCUCCGGGAUGAUGGGGACACUGUUGGGACCGCCUCUGCUAAAGAGGAGGAAGGAAUGGGCAACGGUAGGUCAGCAUGCCCCGAAUUAUCCGGGCUACACGCGGGCUACAAUGGUCAGGACAAUGGGUAUCGACACCGAGAGGUGGAGGCAAUCUCCUAAACCUGUCCGUAGUUCGGAUUGUGGGUUGCAACUCGCCCACAUGAAGCUGGAAUCUGUAGUAAUCGCGUCUCAAAAUGGCGCGGUGAAUAUGUCCCUGCUCCUU